AUACUGACCUGGCAGGGGAGAUACCAUGAUCACGAAGGUGGUUUUCCCAGGACGAGGCUUAUCCAUUGCACUCUGGAUGUGUUGACCCCUGCAAUUUCCCCAAAUAUGGGAAACUCGACUGCAUAAUUUGUGGCAGUGGGGGACUGCGUUCACGCUUUCCCCUG
rnacentral:snRNA from 1 species